rfam:Triticum urartu cultivar G1812 contig1184138, whole genome shotgun sequence.
CUUGUAAUCCUUCCGUCCUGAAAUACUUGUCAAAGAAAUACAUAAAAAUGGAUGUAUCUAGAACUAAAAUACGUCUAGAUACAUCCAUUCCCCCGACAAGUAUUUCUGGACGGAGGGAGUAUUUA